AACAGGCUUAUCUCCCCCAAGAGUCCACAUCGACGGGGCGGUUUGGCACCUCGAUGUCGGCUCAUCACAUCCUGGGGCUGUAGUAGGUCCCAAGGGUUGGGCUGUUCGCCCAUUAAAGUGGUACGCGGGCUGGGUUCAGAACGUCGUGCGACAGUUCGGUCCCUAUCCGUCGCAGGCGUAGGCAAUUUGAGAAGACCUGUCCUUAGUACGAGAGGACCGGGAUGGACGUACCUCUGGUGUACCAGUUGUCCUGCCAAGGGCAUGGCUGGGUAGCUA
rnacentral:rRNA from 1 species